CCUAUGUCUAAUGCUUCAGUUUAUACUUCCUAGGUUUUUUUCAUUGGGGUUUUUGUAACUCUUUUGGUAUCCUACCGGUGCUUUGGUAGCCUACUGAACCCUGUCUUUCUUCUUAAGGACAUUCUGAGCAUGUGAGACCUGAGGACUGCAAACAGCUAUAAGAGGCUCCAAAUUCAUCAUAUCUUUCCCUUUGAGAAUCUGGCCAAGCUCCAGCUAAUCUACUUGGAUGGGUUGCCAGCUAUCUGGAGAAAAAGGUUGGUAGCCAGAAUAUAACAGCUCCGCACAACUGUAAAUGUCCACUCUUCAAUCCACAUGAAGAAAAGGAUCUUCCUCAGAAGAAUAGGCUUGUUGCUUUACAGUGUUAGUGAUCCAUUCCCUUUGACGAUCCCUAGGUGGAGAUGGGGCAUGAGGAUCCUCCAGGGGAAAAGCUCACUACCACUGGGCAACAACCCUAGGUCAGGAGGUUCUGUCAAGAUACUUUCCUGGUCCCAGAUAGGAAGAUAAAGUCUCAAAAACAACCACCACACGUCAAGCUCUUCAUUGUUCCUACCUGCCAAAUCAUUAUACUUCCUACAAGCAGUGCAGAGAGCUGAGUCUUCAGCAGGUCCAAGAAAUUUGAACACACUGAAGGAAGUCAGCCUUCCCACCUGAAGAUCAACAUGCCUGGCACUCUAGCACUUGAGGAUAGCUGAAUGAAUGUGUCUUACCCAUUUCCAUGUUUCUCUUGCUAAUUUCUUUCGUGUGUGCCUUUGCCUCAUUUUCUCUUUUUGUUCACAAGAGUGGUCUGUGUCUUGUCUUAGACAUAUCUCUCAUUUUUCAUUUUGUUGCUAUUUCUCUUUGCUCUCCUAGAUGUGGCUCUUCUUUCACGCUUUAUUUCAUGUCUCCUUUUUGGGUCACAUGCUGUGUGCUUUUUGUCCUUUUCUUGUUCUGUCUACCUCUCCUUUCUCUGCCUACCUCUCUUUUCUCUUUGUGAACUGUGAUUAUUUGUUACCCCUUCCCCUUCUCGUUCGUUUUAAAUUUCACCUUUUUUCUGAGUCUGGCCUCCUUUCUGCUGUUUCUACUUUUUAUCUCACAUUUCUCAUUUCUGCAUUUCCUUUCUGCCUCUCUUGGGCUAUUCUCUCUCUCCUCCCCUGCGUGCCUCAGCAUCUCUUGCUGUUUGUGAUUUUCUAUUUCAGUAUUAAUCUCUGUUGGCUUGUAUUUGUUCUCUGCUUCUUCCCUUUCUACUCACCUUUGAGUAUUUCAGCCUCUUCAUGAAUCUAUCUCCCUCUCUUUGAUUUCAUGUAAUCUCUCCUUAAAUAUUUCUUUGCAUAUGUGGGCAAGUGUACGUGUGUGUGUGUCAUGUGUGGCAGAGGGGCUUCCUAACCCCUGCCUGAUAGGUGCAGAACGUCGGCUAUCAGAGCAAGCAUUGUGGAGCGGUUCCUUAUGCCAGGCUGCCAUGUGAGAUGAUCCAAGACCAAAACAAGGCCCUAGGCUGCAGUAAAACCCAAAACUCAAGUAGGGCAGAAGGUGGAAGGCUCAUAUGGAUAGAAGGCCCAAAGUAUAAGACAGAUGGUUUGAGACUUGAGACCCGAGGACUAAGAUGGAAAGCCCAUGUUCCAAGAUAGAUAGAAGCCUCAGGCCUGAAACCAACAAAAGCCUCAAGAGCCAAGAAAACAGAGGGUGGCCUGAAUUGGACCGAAGGCCUGAGUUGGAUGGAAGUCUCAAGGCUUGAGUUAGAAGUCUUAAGACCUGGGACAGGACACAUGGAAGGCCUAAGAACUGAGACUUGUGACACAAGGCCAACGAUCUAAGAUUAGCCCAGGGUUGUAGCUGGAAGACCUACAACCCAAGGAUGGAAGGCCCCUGUCACAAAGCCUACCUAGAUGGAUAGAGGACCCAAGCGAAAAAGGUAUCUCAAGACUAAAGGCUGGAAUCUGGAGGCCCAUGACCCAGAACCCAGGAAGGAUAGAAGCUUGAAGACCUGGGGAAAUCCCAAGAUGAGAACCCUAAACCCUACCUCUUUUCUAUUGUUUACACUUCUUACUCUUAGAUAUUUCCAGUUCUCCUGUUUAUCUUUAAGCCUGAUUCUUUUGAGAUGUACUUUUUGAUGUUGCCGGUUACCUUUAGAUUGACAGUAUUAUGCCUGGGCCAGUCUUGAGCCAGCUUUAAAUCACAGCUUUUACCUAUUUGUUAGGCUAUAGUGUUUUGUAAACUUCUGUUUCUAUUCACAUCUUCUCCACUUGAGAGAGACACCAAAAUCCAGUCAGUAUCUAAUCUGGCUUUUGUUAACUUCCCUCAGGAGCAGGCAUUCAUAUAGGUGAUACUGUAUUUCAGUCCUUUCUUUUGACCCCAGAAGCCCUAGACUGAGAAGAUAAAAUGGUCAGGUUGUUGGGGGAAAAAAAGUGCCAGGCUCUCUAGAGAAAAAUGUGAAGAGAUGCUCCAGGCCAAUGAGAAGAAUUAGACAAGAAAUACACAGAUGUGCCAGACUUCUGAGAAGCACCUGCCAGCAACAGCUUCCUUCUUUGAGCUUAGUCCAUCCCUCAUGAAAAAUGACUGACCACUGCUGGGCAGCAGGAGGGAUGAUGACCAACUAAUUCCCAAACCCCAGUCUCAUUGGUACCAGCCUUGGGAAACCACCCACACUUGAGCCACAAUUGGUUUUGAAGUGCAUUUACAAGUUUCUGGCAUCACUACCACUACUGAUUAAACAAGAAUAAGAGAACAUUUUAUCAUCAUCUGCUUUAUUCACAUAAAUGAAGUUGUGAUGAAUAAAUCUGCUUUUAUGCAGACACAAGGAAUUAAGUGGCUUCGUCAUUGUCCUUCUACAUCAAAGAUAAUUUAUUCCAAAAGCUAAGAUAAAUGGAAGACUCUUGAACUUGUGAACUGAUGUGAAAUGCAGAAUCUCUUUUGAGUCUUUGCUGUUUGGAAGAUUGAAAAAUAUUGUUCGGCAUGGGUGACCACCAGAAAGUAAUCUUAAGCCAUCUAGAUGUCACAAUUGAAACAAACUGGGGAGUUGGUUGCUAUUGUAAAAUAAAAUAUACUGUU
rnacentral:lncRNA from 1 species